rnacentral:lncRNA from 1 species
AGGUGAGGCAGGAAAGAAUGGACCAGCAUUACAAAAAUAAGAUUACAUAACUGUGAGUAUAAUUUGAAGGCUGAAAUAGAGCUGUAAAUCACCAUUAGAAAUGUGAGCCCUUUGUAAAAAACGCAUUCUUAAAAGCAUGAUUUGGAAAAUUCAAAUAGAACAAAGGGGAAGCAACAGAAAUGAAAAUUUGAUUUUUCAUAGAUUCUGACUCAUCUCUUGACAACAAUCAAAUUGUGAUGGAUACGUGGGCGCUCCAUUCUCCUCCUCCUUCCUCUGCUCCACACACAGGUCCACAAGGAGGACACAGUUGCUGCUCUGCCAGUCAUUUGUUCCCUGGCACUUAUAUCACAGAUGGCUUUGAUCACUUACAAACCAGAGUUGACACUGGAAAUGCUUCACCUUCAAAGUAAAGCAGAAAUAGAUCUUUGGGGAUUCUCAAAAUGCAAUAGAUGCAAUAUUUAAUAUAAACUGAAAAUAAGUGUCUUAUAUCCUAAAGUGUUUUCCUUGGAGCAGUUGUCUUUUUUUUUUUUUAAAUCUGUGCAUGUGUAAUGUUUGGGGGCACAUCUAUACUUCAUGCUUCCAGUUUAAACAAGUAGGGUAUGGUGGUUCACACCCAGCACUGGAGGAUGCAGAGGCAAGCAGAUCCCUGAGCUCAAGCCCAACCUAAUCUCAUACACAUACACACAUAUGUGUAUAUGUGUAUAUACAUAUACAUAUAUAUAUGUGUGUGUGUGUGUAAAUAUAUACAUGUACACACAUAUUUCAUAUGUAUGUAUAUGUGUAUAUAUGUACACACACAUAUUUCACAUAUAUAUACAUAUAUACAUACAUAUAUACACAUAUACACAUAUGUACAUAUAUACAUAUACAUAUACAUGUAUAUAUGUAUAUAUAUGGCAGGCCCAUGCACACCAUGGCAUAUGUGUGGAUCCCAGAAGUCAGCCUCAGGUGUCAGACGUUUCCUUACUAAGACUGGGUCUCUGACUCCUUGCUGAGUGUGACAGGCUACCUAAGCUGAGGGCCCCUGAGGAGCCUCCUGUGUCCAGCUCCACCCUUGCCUUCUCACUGAAGACAUGACACACCAUCCCACAUACAGCUUUAUGGAGGUGUUACAGAUCAAAGCUCAGGUCCUCGUGCCUGUGCAGCAACCAGUUGGACCACCGAGCCUUCUCCUUGAGCCCAGAACACUUUGUGUUCCACGCUACUUACAGCUGCUCUGCGAAGCACGUGGCACUUAAGGCAAUCAUAGAAAGGAAAGGGCUGUCAAGUUCGACUAAUAUUGUUAAAACCUAUGUGGUUUCUGACAACCUUUAACCUACUAACUUAUAUUAUGAAUUUCCAAAAGGCAGCCAUAAUUUUAAUAAUUUUGCCAAAAACUGACCUUUGUUUACAGACAAUAUCAAAAGACUAAUGUUAUGAGGAGCUGGUUAAGAAAAUAUAUUAGAAGUAGCGACAUUUCCGCAGUUCAGCACAAUAGGUACUCUUACAGAAGAAAUGGUUUUGAUUCCCAGCAUCCACAUCACAACUUACACCCAUCGGGAACACUGGUCCUAGGGGACCUCAUGCCCUCUUCUGGUGCACAAAGCAUGCAUAUGCUACACAGAUAUUCAUGC